GGACUCGCUCUGCGCGCUCCCUCCUCUAGCGCACGCGCCCCUCGCGGGCCUCUUUACAAGGCAUGAGUUCUGCUCCGACCCAUCCUGAGCGCAUCUGCCUCCAGUGGAUGUGUCUUGAGAGCACCUUUCCUGAAGGGCCUUCCUCUCCUGCACCUGUCCUGUGUGCCCCUGUCCUGCCUGCGUCGACCCGCGUGGCCAUGCUCCACUUGCCCCUUCCUGCCUAGCCUUUCCUGGGCGGGCCCUCCUCGCCUGCAUCGGUUCUCCGCAGACCCGUUUUUUGUGAAUAGUCCCUUGUGGACUGCCCUUCGAGGACUUUGCCCGGGCCGGCACUCCUUGCUGCACAGGUCUCCGCAUGUACCUGUCCCGCGUGGACAUCCUUCCAUCCUUCCUGGACUCUUAUCCUGCAUGGACACUCCUUCCAUACACCUGCCCUGCUUAGGACCUUCUUGCGUGGACCAGUCCUGCAUGGACGUUAGUUGUCAGUUGUCGGGGCCUCUCUUCUGGCCCUCUGGGGAGCCGAUCUUGGUGUCCACUGUCUGCCAGGGGCCUGACCCCUGGCAUGGAGGAUCUGACCGUAAGGAAGUUUUCUGAUUCAAGAAGGAAGGAUGUCUUUUGUCCUUUUUCAAAACAUCAACUUGAGAGAAGCAAUCUAUUUUUUUUAAACAAACACAUUUUUGAAAAGAUGUAAAUUAGAACUACAUACUUUUUAAGUUUUAAAAACGUUAAUUUCGGGCUGGGGUUGUGGCUCAGAGGUAGAGCACUUGCCUAGCACAUUCGAGGCCCUGGGUUCGAUCCUCAGCACCACAUAAAAAAAUAAAUAAAGGUAUUGAAAACUACAACUAAAAAAUAAU
rnacentral:lncRNA from 1 species